UACGUAGGUGGCAAGCGUUGUCCGGAUUUACUGGGCGUAAAGGGCGUGCAGGCGGUUUGUUUAGUCUAGGGUGAAAGCUCCCGGCUUAACUGGGAGAGGUCCUUGGAUACUGGCAAACUUGAGGGAGGCAGAGGAAAGUGGAAUUCCCGGUGUAGUGGUGAUAUGCGUAGAUAUCGGGAGGAACACCAGUGGCGAAGGCGGCUUGCUGGGCGUGAUCUGACGCUGAGGCGCGAAAGCGUGGGGAGCGAACAGG
rnacentral:rRNA from 1 species